AACGCACAUUGCGCCCCUCGGUAUUCCGGGGGGCAUGCCUGUUCGAGCGUCAUUAUACCCCUCAAGCGUAGCUUGGUAUUGGGCCUCGCCCCCGUGGCGUGCCCGAAAAGCAGUGGCGGUCCGGGGCGACUUUAAGCGUAGUAAAAUCAUCCCGCUUCGAAAGUCCGCCUCGCGACCGGCCAGACAACCCCAUACAUUUUAAACAUUGACCUCGGAUCAGGUAGGAAUACCCGCUGAACUUAG
rnacentral:misc_RNA from 1 species